GGUGAGGGGCUGUCUGGCCUCGCACUGUCCUCCAAGGAAGCUCCUUUUCUGUGGCUGUUUAGUGGCGUGGAUGCCUGGCUUCUUGGCCAAGUCCAAGGAUCUCAGUGAGCACUGCCCAUACAAGGCUCCCUUGGGCUGAGGGAUUCGUUAUGGAUCCGACAGGAAGACAAGACUGGAUAAGAGCGAACAGCUUCCUAAAGAGACUCAGACAUUUUAUAGCACUGG
rnacentral:lncRNA from 1 species